rnacentral:lncRNA from 1 species
CCUGAGUGCAGGCAGCUGGGUGCCCAGGCCUGGGGCUCAGGAGGCGGGUGUGGGAUGAUCUAGGAAUUAUGAGCUAGAGAUGGAAAGUCAGCUAUGGGGGAGGCUAGGGAGAGAACAUGGGAAGAGAAGAGGGCCCAGGACACAACGUCAAUGACUGUUGGAAGAAGAGGCACCAAGGACACCGAGAAGCUGCUGGCGGAGCAGUGGGGGAAUAUCAAGUCAGAGAAUCCAGAAGGCCCUUGGAGGGUGUGGUCUGCAGGUGUGAGGAGGCCGAAAGCCCAGGCAGGUUGACGACUGUAAAACGCCGGUUGGAUUUAGCAAAAUGGAGGUCCGGGGCCUUGAGCAGGAGCAGGUUGAGUAGAGGGUGGGGAGGGGCAGAGACAGCCUCGUGGGAGGUGAAGCCUAGGAGAUGGGACUUGGAGAUAACAGGUUACUGCCAGGAACUGGGGCUGAAGGAGGAGGAAAGGAAUGGGACCGAGUUCAAUUGAAGAGGAUAGACAGGCUUGAUUUGUUUGCUUGUUGGUUUUUAGGGUGGGAGGAACUGGGCAUGUUUAAGAAGAGGGAGCCAGUCAGGAGAGAGAGGUUCAGUGUCUUUCCCAGAAUAGACCCUUGAGGCUAAGAACAACAACAAAAAAUCCAGUAGAGCCCCAGGAGGAAAGGAAUUUGGCUUUUUAGCUGAGUAGUGAAAAGGCAAGCUGGCAAUUGCCCUUUGGCUCUGCCAGGGAAGGUCAGAGAAAGGCCUCCCCAGUGAUGGAGAGGGGAAGGAAGUGAGGGGGAGAAAAAACAGUGGAGAGAUAAACAAGCCUUGGCUGGAAGGAGGAGAGAGAAGCCCCCUCUGAAGAAUAUGCAUUCCAGGAGAGCAGGGAUAUUUGUUUUGUUCCCCGAUGUAUCCCCUGGAUCUAGCACAGGACUGGCAGGAACCCCAGAUUCUUCUCCAUGGUCGGAAUCAUUGCAAAAUAACUGACGGAGUUUCACCAUGUUGGCCAGGAUGGUCUCUGUCUCUUGACCUCGUGAUCCGCCCGCCUUGGACUUCCAGAGUGCUGGGAUUACAGGCAUGAGCCACCACGCCCAGCCUUGUUUUUGUAUAUUUUGUAGAGACAGGUCUUACUAUGUUGCCCAGGUUUGUCUUGGAGCUCCACUCCAAGGUGGAGCUCAAGCGAUCCACCUGCCUCAGCCUCCCAAAGUGCUGGGAUUACAGAUGUGAGCCACCAUGCCCAGCCUUCAUGGGUUUCCCUAGGAUCACCAGCUGUCAUGGACUGAUUUGUGUCUCUCCAAAUUCAUAUGUUGAAUACUUAACCUGCCAUGCGAUUGUGAUUGGAGAUAAUUCCUUUAGGGAAGCAAUGAAGGUUAAAUGAGGUCAUAGGUGGGAGCUUAAUCCAAUGGGACUGGGGUCCCUACAAGAAGAGGAAGACACCAGAGCUCUCUGUCUCCACACACAGAGAAAAGAGGCUGUAUGAGGACACAAGAGAAGGUAAUAGCUGUCUACAAACCAAGAAGAGAAGCCUCUCCAGAAAAUGAACCCUGCUGGAACUUGGUCUUGGACUUUCCAGCCUCCAGAACUGGGAGAAAAUAAA